CAUCCUUUGCAUCAUUUAAAAAAGCAAAACAAAACAAAACAGCUCCCUAAUGUUUCACAAAACUUCCAGAAAGCAUAGCUAGGGAAAAAGCUAUCUGAUCACUACCUACUUAUGAUGCUUUUCACUGAGUUUGCAUGUUAAUUUAUUGCAUGCUUUGUUUGUAAAUGUGCUUCUGAAAUGAAGCAUUUACAAAUAUGAUUAAUCUACAGAUUCCGAAGCAUGCAAUAAAGAAACAAAUUACUGAGUGCCCUUGUCCUUUUACACAGAAGCUAAAAUACAACUUCCAAACAUCUAAGACUGCCUAGCUUUACUUUUCCUUUAACUAAUGUUGCUUCAAAUGGAAGCUUUCAGCAAUUGAAUUUUCUCUAAAUUCCUGAUUCCAGUUUCAUUUAUACCAGUGUAACUCAGAAGCAACUGCAACAUAUGUUGUAAACCCACACCAGCGUAAAUACUGUGUGGAGGAGGUCAAAAUAAGGCUGUUAUUGUAUGAUUUUUGAAGUGCUCAUGUAGAUUAAUAUUCUCACCCUUUAACAGAUAUAGGCACAUCAGCAUGAAUAAAGAAAUGCAACAAGUUGAAGAUUCAAAGUACAUUUACUAGUGUAUUUUAUGCCACUCACAUUUUCAGCCAGACCACCCAGAGCAAAGAAAAGAAAAAGCCACAACAAAAAAAGCCCUCUGCAUUGUUUGCAAUAAUAUGGAAGGAAAUUGAGUGUAUAUUCUCUUCUUCCUGUAUUUUCCAGCUAGAUUAAGCUGUUGUCUUCACAAUUGCCUCCCAGCUGCUGUGACUUGUGAAAACAACAGACCCUGCUCUGUUGUCUGCAGAAAGCCUGGAUUGUUACGAGUAACUUUAUUGCAGGCACAUGAGUGUGUUAAGACUUUAAAACACGCUCAAAUGUCAUGUGCACACCCAGUGACGGGCAAGAAUAAUUAUGAAAAAACAAGAAUUCUAUGUCUACGAAACAGUGUCAGACAAAAUGGGCCAUUCAUUGUGUUCCUUUGGGAAUGCUUGGACUCUCCAGCCAGAAAACAAAAAAGGCACUUUUUUCCUGCUGUAGGCUGAAUACUUAGCUUUGCCAUCUGAGCCCUAAGAAAACAUGGGCCCCCUCUCUAACUACUGGCUGGCCUGCACACAGUAAAAAGUAUUAAUGUCCCCCUUUUUUCCAGCAGUUCCCUCUGUGUAGGCUGCGGCCAAUGUAAAGUCAAUGCAAAGACAAAACAGUUUGCCUAACAUUAGUAAAAAAAACAUAACUCUUGUACAGUCUGAAAAUCCCUCUGACACACAGAGGUUUUAUUCUAAGCCAUACCGCCUCUAUCCUUCAGCAAGUUACUGUAGGUACUGUUAAUGCUUUUAGCAGGUAAUAACCGUUGCCUGCUGCUCAGCUUCAGUCUUUCUAGGAUUUUACAGAUGAGCCCAAUUGUGUAGAAUUCUUCAAAAAUAUUAUCUAACUGCCUGAUUUACUACUGUCCCUUUUCACAAUUGGUCCUCCUAAUCAGAAUUCAUUUCCCCCUGAAAGGAUUAAUACAAAUGAAAACAUGACAUGACUUAGUUCAAUAUCAGGUCAUUUUGACACCAUUUUUUUUUCCUCACAGGUGGACUAACUCCUGUCUCAUCUGAACAGUGGUAAUUUAGUGUGAGGUGUCCCUGCCCAUGGCAGGGGGGUUGGAACUAGAUGAUCUUAAGGUCCUUUCCAGCCCUUACCAUUCUGUGAUUCAGUGAUUCUGUG